GCUGUCAUUUCCCCCUGGCUGUGCUGAAGUUGGUGGUGAAGGUGUUACGCUGCCCGGAUUAGGUGGUGGUAGAGGAGGAGGAAGCGGAGUAGGAGGAGGAGGCAACAGAAGGCAAAGAGAAAUGCCCUGCAAUCCUCGGUGGCAGAAGGACAUGUGCCAAACUGCUAUCCGCCUCAGGCCCAGCCGCCACUACAUUUGCCCAGUGUGCAGUUA